UAAAUAGAAUGCACCAUAUGCGUAAAGAUCAAUAUUUACAUAAUUUUCUUAUUACAGCUUGAUAAUAAUAUGUUUUACUGUUGUAUUUUGUUUGAUAUUUAUUUUGGCAUUGCUCAUUAAUUAGUAAAUGUCUAUAGCUAAGUAGUAUACUAAUAGGAUUCUGUCCAUAGGUUCCUGAUCAAUUUCAUUAACAGUAUCAAAAUGUAAUAAAUUUGGACUUUUUUAAGUCUGUAGAGAAAAAUGAAAUGUAAAUUAUACUUAAAUGAAAUUUAAGUAAAUAAUUAUAAUAAUAUUUAUAAUAUAUAAAAUAAUUAAAAUACACAAAGGCACGACAUUAGAACAUAGAAACUAAGUAGAAGAACAAAACCUAGUAUAAAACACAAUG